UACGUAGGGUGCGAGCGUUAAUCGGAAUUACUGGGCGUAAAGCGUGCGCAGGCGGCUUGCCAAGUCAGAUGUGAAAUCCCCGGGCUUAACCUGGGAACUGCAUUGGUGACUGGCAGGCUUUGAGUGUGGCAGAGGGAGGUAGAAUUCCACGUGUAGCAGUGAAAUGCGUAGAGAUGUGGAGGAAUACCGAUGGCGAAGGCAGCCUCCUGGGCCAACACUGACGCUCAUGCACGAAAGCGUGGGGAGCAAACAGG
rnacentral:rRNA from 1 species